rnacentral:misc_RNA from 1 species
AAAAAAAAAAAAAUAAAUUAAAUAAAAAAGAUGAGAAAAAAAAAGAUGAUAAAGAAAAUAGAAAAGAAAAAAAUGAUGAAAAAGAAAAUAUAUAAGAAAGAAAAAGAUGAUGAAGAAAAAAAUAGAUGAGAAAGAAAAAUAUGAUAUAAAAUAGAUUAGAAAGGAAAAAAUGAUGAAUAAAAUAAAUGAGAAUGAAAAGAUGAUUAAGAAAAUGAGGGGAAAAAAGAAUAAAGAGGGGAAAAAAGAAAAUGAGUAGUGGGGAAAAAAAAAGAGUAAUGGAGAAAGAAAAUGAGUACUAAUUUACCUAAGUGAAUUAAUAACUAAUUUUGGCAACUAAUUAUUGGUUAUUCAUUUCUUUUAAAAAUUGGGUUGAAAUUUUUGGAGGAAAAUUUUACAACUGAUUCGUAAUCAAUUGCUCUAUAAAUCACUUGCAAAUAAAAAAACAAAAAAAAUGAGACGAAAUUUCUAGGGGAAGAAUUUUGCAAUUAGUUAUAAAAUCGGUUAUUAAUACCAACCGAUAUCAAUCUAUUGCAAAAAUUAGUUGUUACUAAGAAUCGAUUCGCAAAUCAGUUACAAAUAAGAGAAAAAAAAGCAAAAAUUUAGUAAGAAUUCUUGGGGGCAAUUUUACAACCGAUUAAUAGAUUACAGUUAUAAUCGAUUUGCAAAUCAGUUGCAAAUAAAAAAAAAAGGGCUAAAUUUUUUUGGGGGGAGAGGAAAUUUUACAACCGAUUUAUAAUUAAUUAUAAAAAUCGAUUGCUAUUAGCAACUAAUUUAAAUUAGUUGUAAAAUUUGAUUGCUAAUAGCAACUAACAAAGAAUUGAUUGCAAUUUUGGAGCCUUUUAAAAAGGCUCUAAAUUUAGCAAUCGAUUUUGUUAAUAACAGCAAUCGAUUUUAAAGUUAAUUGCUAAUUUUAUAUUUUGAUUUUUCUAAUAUUAAUAAAGCAACCGAUAUAGUAACCGAUUCUUGAAUUGAUUGCUAAAUUUUUAAAAAUUAACUAUUUUACUAAAAAAAAAAUCUAAAAUUACAAAUCAAUUAUAAAAUUGAUUGCUAUCAAUUACAAAAAUCAGUUGCAAAACUAAUUGUUCUUUUAUAGUGGGAGAAAAAUGACCCUUUUAACUUGCAAAUUAAAUAUUAUACGUAAAAUAGAUUUUUCUAGUAACAAAAUUCAAAAUUUGAGAUUUUUUUGAAAGAAAAUAAUAUUGAAGGGUUGAAAUAAAUGAUGAAUAAAAAUUAGACAUCAAAUGUGAAUUGGAAAAGAAUUGAA